CUUGGUUUGGUGCUAGUAUCAGUAAAUCUGUCAUAGCGAACGUAUCGGAUACGUUACCUGAUAUUUCUUAGUUGAAAGUUUUCUAACGAGAAAGUUCUUCUAGAAACCUGCAUACUGUGCGACAGUUUUUCCAGUUGAAAAGAUUUUUUGUCCAUGGUUGUUUGAGUUCUUCAGUGUAUGAAUAUCAUCAUGUUUGAUAAACGAUUACAAGCGUAUCGCAAGUAUCAACGCUUCAUUAAGGCUAUUCUCACUAUGACUGGCUGUUGGUACAUGCCCGCAAAAUCAGGCAAGUCCACGUACUACUGGCCAGUUUGUGUGCUUUUGAUAAUGAACGUGUACAUGAUACUCGCCUUUCAUACAGCUUAUGUCUUUAGACAUAACUUGGUAAACAUGAUGAAAAUGAUAGACGCAGCUAUAUCUUUAAUUAGCGCCAUUAUCAAGGUGACAAACUUCAUGAUACAUCGCAGAUCUCUGAAAAAUAAUCACCAGACCCUGAGUGAUUUUUUUGAGGAGGAGCUUAUGCAAAACGAAAAAAUUCGGAAGAUAACGUUUUCAUCCCUGCGUGCAACGUACACUAUGGCGUAUGCGUAUAUCAUCAUUAUUAUAUCAUUGCUUUUGGGAUAUGCUGCGCCUCCGAUUAUAUCCAUGAUCCGCGAUCUCUGUCACUUGCGUUUAACUACAAAUUACAACUUGCCGUUCGCCAGAGGAUACUCAUACUUCUGGAUUGUUCCCGAUAACUGGUCGUAUCAUCUUUAUUUUUUCUACGAAAUGAUGCAAGCCUGGUUGACUGCCAUGACGUCAGGCGCUGUCGAAAGCGUUUUUGGCUUCCACACCUAUCUAUUCGCCUCGACGGUGCGCGUCAUGAUUUUUAGACUCACGAAUCCUUUGCCUACAGACAAGUUUUCGGAUGUGUUGAAAAUGUGCAUUAAGAAACAUCAAAAGUUGCUACGAUGCCGCGAUACGUUGGAGAACGUUUUUGGACCAAUCGUCCUUUGGCAUGUUGUCUCCAAUUCCAUCCUUCUUUGCUCGUUGAUAUACGAGACUGUAAAUAUGGAAAUUCGUCUUGCCAACAUAACCACAUUUGUGAUAUACUCUUCAUUAAAGCUAGUUCAAAUGUUUAUAUAUGCACGGUACGCAAUGUUCUUACAAAUGCGAGCGAUGAUUUUCGUAAAGGAAUAUACUUUAGUGAGUGGCCUAACUCUGAUCUCGAUUGUCACGUCAAAACAAAUGUUAUUCUGAUGUUGAUGCAAAAACCGAUGACCAUAUACGCAAUUUUCUCCCCCGUCGAGAUGAUCAUGUUCACUAAUGUCAUAAACACUACAAUGUCCUAUUUCUUUCUGUUGCGCUCUAAAGGCGGAUAAAAAUGGAUCAUGUAUAUGACUCGUAGAUACUGGCAAACACGAUGUUGCGUUAUUGUCAGAAUAUAAUUUAGAAAGUACAAUCAAAGCUUUAUUAACUUUUUAUUAUUACACUAUUGAUAUUUAAAAUGUUUAAACUAUUUCUAUUAAAAUAUAUAAAUAAUUGUCGGAUUAUUUUCCAUCUAGACGUUUGUUAACACAGUUAUGUUCACCAAUCUCGUGAAUACUACAAUAGUCUAUUCUUCUUGUUGCAAUUUGUCGGUGACAAAGUGAGAUAAUGGACCGUAUGUAUGUUUUAUAAACACUAAUAAGUAUGUAAAAUUAUUGUAUUAUUAUAAAAAAAUCAAUGCACCAUUAAUAUCUUUUAUUGUUACACUGUUAACGGUUAAUUUAUAAACAAUUAUAAACAAUAACUUUACUUGUUAUUGCGUUUUUCUUUUAUUUACUUAAAAAAAAAAUCGUUGUUUAAGCUAAUAAUUACAUAGCAUAACUUUUUUUAGCACGUAAGUGUAUAUAAAGUUGGAAAAUGAACAGUUCUGCAUGUUCACGUGUGGUAAUGAGGUUUUCAAGUUACAUUGACCUACUGCGUAGAGAAAAUAUGUCGAUAUCACAGAUAUACUAUCGAGAAAAGUUUUAAGUAAAUGAAUGAAACUUUCUUUCAUCUAAAAUCUAAACGUUUGCAUAUACCCUCAGGCUAUCAAACCUUCAUCAAUACUGUAACGCUUGCGUGAUAUAGCUAUCUAACGGCGAUAUUGCAAUAUCACCGACAAUGCUUUGAUUGACUAUAUAAAGUUCUCUUACUUAUCUUAUAAAUAAAAGGAAUUGUAAAUCUGUCUACGUCAGUUAAAUAGGAAAAAAUAUUACUAGUUCUGAUGAUAUAUCUGAUGCAACUCGAAAUCUAUAGCUUCGACGUCUUACCAUUCUGUUUGAAGUGCAAUUUUUCCUAUGCCUAUAGUUUGUCUACAGUAGUGAUUUUAAUAGCAAAUUCAGUUCGACGCACUAGUGCGCACUAGGGUGCACAUUAAAAACGCCGUACACUAAUCGACGAAAGAUAUGUAUUUAACAUAAAUGUAUUAAUGCUUAAAUAUAUAAUGCUUAAAUUAUUGUAAAAGAAAUGAUACAUUCUGUGUAACAAUCAGCUAUAAAUGUUAAAUUAUAAUUA